CCUACGUGAGGCAGCAGUGAGGAAUAUUGGUCAAUGGGCGUAAGCCUGAACCAGCCAAGUCGCGUGAUGGAUGAAGGUUCUAUGGAUCGUAAACCUCUUUUAUAAGGGAAUAAAGUGCGGGACGUGUCCCGUUUUGUAUGUACCUUAUGAAUCAGGCUCGGCUAACUCCUUACCAGCAGCCGCGGUAAUACGGAGGAUCCGAGCGUUAUCCGGAUUUAUUGGGUUUAAAGGGUGCGUAGGCGGCCUUUUAAGUCAGCGGUGAAAGUUUGCGGCUCAACCAUAGAAUUGCAGUUGAAACUGGUAGCCUUGAGUAUGUUUGAGGCAGGCGGAAUGCGUGGUGUAGCGGUGAAAUGCUUAGAUAUCACGCAGAACCCCGAUUGCGAAGGCAGCCUACCAAGCCAUGACUGACGCUGAUGCACGAAAGCGUGGGGAUCAAACAGGAUUAGAUACCCGGGUAGUC
rnacentral:rRNA from 1 species